CCUACGGGUGGCAGCAGUGAGGAAUAUUGGUCAAUGGGCGCGAGCCUGAACCAGCCAAGUCGCGUGAGGGAAGACGGUCCUAUGGAUUGUAAACCUCUUUUGUCGGGGAGCAAAAGACGCCACGCGUGGCCUUCCGAGAGUACCCGAAGAAAAAGCAUCGGCUAACUCCGUGCCAGCAGCCGCGGUAAUACGGAGGAUGCGAGCGUUAUCCGGAUUUAUUGGGUUUAAAGGGUGCGCAGGCGGAAGAUCAAGUCAGCGGUAAAAGUCCGAGGCUCAACCUCGUCGCGACGUUGAAACUGGUUUUCUUGAGUGAGUGAGAAGUAUGCGGAAUGCGUGGUGUAGCGGUGAAAUGCAUAGAUAUCACGCAGAACUCCGAUUGCGAAGGCAGCAUACCGGCGCUCAACUGACGCUCAUGCACGAAAGUGUGGGUAUCGAACAGGAUUAGAUACCCCGGUAGUC
rnacentral:rRNA from 1 species